rnacentral:sRNA from 1 species
UAGAAUGUAUUUCUUUCCACCAUUGUGAA